AUGAAGACCCACUACAUGCCAGACCCCCCCAGGUGGCCCAGGGCUGCACCGCGGCGGCCUCGGUGCCAUGGAGAGCGGUAUUCGCUGACUGCGCACUAAGACGCGUCCCAGUAGGUCAAGUACCUGAGCUGCUGCGGCGCGGGGAUCGUGCAAGAGGCCUUUCUGCCCCCCAGGCUUCUCUGGAGGAGCAGCGCCACCGGGGACGGGUCUGGGCUGCCGCGCUGGAACCCUGCACGAGAUGAGCCUGCUGUCAGGGCUGGUGUUCGCCGCUGGUCUCUGCGCCAUACUGGCGGCUAUGCUGGCGCUCAAGUACCUGGACCCGGUCGUCGCGGGCGGCGGCGCCUGUCCCGAGGGCUGCCCCGAGGGCAAGGCCUUAGCGCGCGCCGCCGGCUUCCUGGCAGCCAACCUGGACGCCAGUAUGGACCCAUGCCAGCACUUCUACUCUUUCGCCUGCAGCCGCUGACUGAGGCCCCGCGCCAUUCCCAACGAAAAGCUCACCUAUGGCACCAUCACGGCCAUCCGCGAGCAGAAAGAGGAGCGCCUGCGGCGCCUGCUGGCACGGCCCAGGGGUGGGCCCGGCGGCGCGGCCCAGCGCAAGGUGCGCGCCUUUUUCCGUUCGUGCCUCGGCAUGCGCGAGAUCGGGCUACUGAGUCCUCGGCCCAUGCUAGAGGUCGUGGAGGACUGCGGGGGCUGGGACCUGGGCGGCGCGGCGGAGCAUCCGGGGGUCGUGACGCCCUGGGACCUCAACCUGCUGCUGUACAAGGGGCAGGGCGUGUACAGCGCCGCAGCACUCUUCUCCCUCUGGGUCAGCCUAGGUUACAGGAAUUCCUCGCGCUACAUCAUCCGCAUUGACCAGGAUGGGCUCAACCUGCCAGAGAGGACCCUGUACCUCGCUCAGGAUAAGGCGAGUGAAAAGGUGCUGGGACAUGGGAUGGGGAGGCAUGGAAGGCCUGGGGCCCCAGGAGGGGUGGGCCCAGACUAGGCCUGUCCGUGUCCCUGGAGGAGCCCCUUCCCAUGGUGCAGAUACUGGCAGCAUACAGUGUGUUCAUAGAGCGAGUGCUCAGCCUCCUGGGUGCUGAUGCUGUAGAGCAGAAGGCCAAGGAGACCCUGUGGCUGUAGUGGGGACAGCUGAUGACAGGGGACCAUGAGACAAGACUGGCUCAGCCCUGAUCUCUACCCCCACCCAGAUCACUGUGUCAGAGUAUGAUCAUUUCCAGCCAGAUAUCAGCUCCAUGUACAAAAAGGUGACACUGGGGCAGCUGCAGAAUAUCACCUCCCCAUAUGGCCCAGGCCCCUCCCCUGCCCCCUGGACUUGCCUGCUGGGUGUGCCAUGAAUUUCCGCCUCCUCUUCUGUCCAGUAGUCACAUUAAAGGAGGCAGCACUCAAAAAGGACCCAGAGCCCGAAGAUCCGAUCCUAGCUCUCCCCUCUGCUUUCCAAGCCCCUGGGCAGGGCUGGGAGCUUCCUGAGCUGCAGUUUCCUCACCUAGGGAUGGUUGGAAAGAGAAAGUGUGGCUACAGCUCUGCUGUUCCUGCACCACCCUUGGGAGAGCCUCGUGGUGUCUAUCCACCAUGGGGAGGAACAGAGGACUUUGCAGGCCAGUUCUGAGUCAGACAGUCACCCUCAAGGUCAGAUGCUGUCUCCCCAUGGCAAGUCAGGAAAUGAUUCAAGCCCUGACCCAUCACAUCAGGGGCUGGCAUCAGUAGCAAGAGUGUCUUGCUGUGUCAUUGAGCUCAGCACACUCCAAUUCCAGCCUCCACAUACUUGGGAUGACCUCCUGCCCCUUCUUUGAGGGACUAUCUGGGUGCUGGGUCCAGUCGCGGGCUGGGGAGUACAGGUCGGGGUGGUGCCCUUGGUGGCCCAUAUGAAUGUCUUUCUGGACACCCCACUGGCUUCAUCUGGCCCCCAGCAUCCUGCACAACUACCUUGUGUGGGGCGUGGUGGUGGUCCUGAGUGAGCACCUGUUCGUGUCAUUCCAUGAGGCAUUGCACAAGCUGGCACGGGAGAUAGAGGGCAGUAACAAGCCACAGGAACUGGCCCGGGUCAGCCUGAGCCAGGCCAACCACCACUUUGGCAUGGCGCUUCAUGCCCUCUUUGUACAUGAACACUUCUCAGCCCGCCUCAGCCAAGGUGGGCUGCUCUGGUUUAGGGUGGGGAGGCUGGUGCUGAACUGAGGGUGGAGCCCUCCCGAGGCCAUGGUCCUAGCGUGGGGAGCCCCACACAUCCCACUGCAAGCAGGGGUACCAGGCCCUGCUUAGGCCUCAGCCCAUUCUGAGGCUCCAGGAUGCUCCUCCGCAGGACUCCUCCUCCUGGUCUGUCAGUAGCAGGUGGCCUUCCCCGCCAGGCCCCUGCCCACCUUCUCAGCCGUGCUCAGGAGGCAUCUCCUUAGGGAUGCCCAUGGUGGUUGCUGCAGCUGUUGCCUCUUCUAGCCUGUGAGCUUAUUGUUGGAGGGGAAGGGUCUAGACUCCCACCUCCAACGUGUCCUCUUGGCACCUAGCACCGAGCUCUGGGCUUAGCAAGUGGUGCUUAAAGACUCCUUCGUGCCAGGAAUGAUGGACCAGAGUGAAAGGCUGCUGGGUUGACCCUUGUUCCCUGACCCCUGACCCUGCAGGUGUGGCAGCUGGUGGAAGACAUCAAGUACCUCCAGGGCCAGUGCCUGGAGGAGCUGGACUGCAUGGAGACCAGAACAGCUGCUGGGGCCGUGGCGAGGGGCCCCCAGUGCCACCGGUUGGUCCCAUGAACAUUGACUGAGCACCUCCUGUGUGCCAGUGAAAGAGAAUAAAAGGGACAAAGAGG